rnacentral:piRNA from 1 species
UCGCGACGCGAGGGCUUUAGGAAGGUC